UACAGAGGUCCCGAGCGUUGUUCGGAUUCAUUGGGCGUAAAGGGUGCGUAGGUGGCGCGGUAAGUCGGGUGUGAAAUCUCGGAGCUUAACUCCGAAACUGCAUUCGAUACUGCCGUGCUUGAGGACUGGAGAGGAGACUGGAAUUUACGGUGUAGCGGUGAAAUGCGUAGAUAUCGUAAGGAAGACCAGUGGCGAAGGCGGGUCUCUGGACAGUUCCUGACGCUGAGGCACGAAGGUCAGGGGGAGCAAACGGG
rnacentral:rRNA from 1 species